rnacentral:rRNA from 1 species
UACGGGGGGAGCAAGCGUUGUUCGGAUUUACUGGGCGUAAAGGGCGCGUAGGCGGCCACCGCAAGUCGGUUGUGAAAUCUCCGGGCUUAACCCGGAAAGGUCAAUCGAUACUGCGGGGCUAGAGUGCAGAAGGGGCAACUGGAAUUCUCGGUGUAGCGGUGAAAUGCGUAGAUAUCAAGAGGAACACCUGAGGUGAAGACGGGUUGCUGGGCCAACACUGACGCUGAGGCGCGAAAGCCAGGGGAGCAAACGGG